AAGUCGUAACAAGGUUUCCGUAGGUGAACCUGCGGAAGGAUCAUUACUGAGUGCGGGCUGCCUCCGGGCGCCCAACCUCCCACCCGUGAAUACCUAACACUGUUGCUUCGGCGGGGAACCCCCUCGGGGGCGAGCCGCCGGGGACUACUGAACUUCAUGCCUGAGAGUGAUGCAGUCUGAGUCUGAAUAUAAAAUCAGUCAAAACUUUCAACAAUGGAUCUCUUGGUUCCGGCAUCGAUGAAGAAAGCAGCGAACUGCGAUAAGUAAUGUGAAUUGCAGAAUUCAGUGAAUCAUCGAGUCUUUGAACGCACAUUGCGCCCCCUGGCAUUCCGGGGGGCAUGCCUGUCCGAGCGUCAUUGCUGCCCAUCAAGCCCGGCUUGUGUGUUGGGUCGUCGUCCCCCCCGGGGGACGGGCCCGAAAGGCAGCGGCGGCACCGUGUCCGGUCCUCGAGCGUAUGGGGCUUUGUCACCCGCUCGACUAGGGCCGGCCGGGCGCCAGCCGACG
rnacentral:misc_RNA from 1 species